rnacentral:rRNA from 1 species
CGGGGCUUAAAGUCUUGUAAUUGGAAUGAUGGGAAUUUAAACCUCUUCCAGAGUAUCAAUUGGAGGGCAAGUCUGGUGCCAGCAGCCGCGGUAAUUCCAGCUCCAAUAGCGUAUAUUAAAAUUGUUGCAGUUAAAAAGCUCGUAGUUGAAUUUCUGCUGCAUUGCUUGUGUCCCUCUGGGGUCUGUGCAUGUGGCUUUUUUCGGACGGAAUUUCUUUGUCUGAAUGUUUACUUUGAGAAAAUUAGAGUGCUCAAAGCAGGCUUUCGCCUUGAAUAGUUUAGCAUGGAAUAAUAAAGUAGGACUUUGGUUCUAUUUUGUUGGUUUUAGGUACCAAAGUAAUGGUUAAUAGGAACAGUUGGGGGCAUUCGUAUUUAACUGUCAGAGGUGAAAUUCUUAGAUUUGUUAAAGACGAACUACUGCGAAAGCAUUUGCCAAGGAUGUUUUCAUUAAUCAAGAAC